AACGAACGCUGGCGGCAUGCCUAACACAUGCAAGUCGAACGAAGCCUUCGGGCUUAGUGGCGCACGGGUGCGUAACGCGUGGGAAUCUGCCUCUUGCUUCGGAAUAACAGUUAGAAAUGACUGCUAAUACCGGAUGAUGUCCCCCUGAGAGAUCUUGGGGACCAAAGAUUUAUCGGCAAGAGAUGAGCCCGCGUAGGAUUAGGUAGUUGGUGGGGUAAAGGCCUACCAAGCCGACGAUCCUUAGCUGGUCUGAGAGGAUGAUCAGCCACACUGGGACUGAGACACGGCCCAGACUCCUACGGGGGGCAGCAGUGGGGAAUAUUGGACAAUGGACGCAAGUCUGAUCCAGCAAUGCCGCGUGAGUGAUGAAGGCCUUAGGGUUGUAAAGCUCUUUUACCAGGGAUGAUAAUGACAGUACCUGGAGAAUAAGCUCCGGCUAACUCCGUGCCAGCCGCCGCAGUAACAC
rnacentral:rRNA from 1 species